CUAAUGGUUAAUGGCUUCUACUUACUUCAGCUACCUUUAUGAGAAAGCCAAAUACAAUCCAAAGAAAAUUCAUGAGAUAUGAUGCAUCGGCUUUUAAAAUUAUAAAAAUAUGAUUGCCUGAACAUUUAACCGUUACAAUAGCUAUUAAUUUUUACUAAAUUUUACUCGUGGCCUACGAAAUAUGUGUUGAAAUUGUUUACUGAACAACGAACGUAACCAUUACACUCAUCGCUACGUUGGAUCAGCUCGAUGCAAAGAAACCCAACAUUCAGUGUGAUAUCACAAGAUCCAUAUUGCACUAGGUGACAUGCCUAGCAGCCGUGAUAUUGAACGAGCAGAACGUAAUGGAAGAUUUCGUUCUCGUAGAAGAGGUAGUAGCAGCAGUGAUAUAAAUCGUCAUAGUUUUGAAGGGCUUGAUAAGAAGCAUAGAAGGCAUGGGAAAAGUAAAAGUUCUGGAAAAAAGAAGAAAAAGAGGUCAAGAGAUAAAUCCGUAGAAAAUGUUCCAACUGUAGCAUCUUCCAUUGUUAAACCUUUGGUUGAAUACUCAGAUGUGAGUAGCGAAGAUUUGUCUGAACCAGAAGCAGGAGAAAUUCAGUCAGAAGAUAGUAGGGGUAAUAGCUAUACAGAUGGAGAAGUACCUGAGCCAGUUUUGCAAAGACGUUAUUAUGGUGGAAGUCCGGUGCGUGCUCUUGGAGCAUCCCCUAUUAGUCUUUCGCCAUCUCCACCUGUUCAGCAUAGGCAUUCUAAUAGACAUUAUUCACCAAAUGAACAACAGCCUUCGCAAUUGCACAGUGGAACGCCUGAUUAUGAAGAGGAAUCUAGACGAUAUGCGAGAAGAAAAGAAAAGAAACACAAACGGGAGAAGAAAAAGAAGAGAAGUCUUAGUCCUUCAUCGAGUUCUGGAAAAAAGAAAAAACGAAAGUCUAAAAGACAUUCUCAUAGUUUAAGUCCGCAUCGUAUCCCAGAUGAAAUUAUUAUCAGUCCAGAACACGAGAAACCAGUCGGAAACUGGUCAGAGUCUCCGCCUUUGCCAUUAAAAGAUAGUACCUCGCCGAUAUCGCCUGCAACGCCUCAAGAACAAAGAUGCUUGAGCGAUGUAGAACUCGAAAUAACAAGGCAACCCCGAAAUGUAACCCCUCCUCCACUUCCCCCAAGGCCGACUGAAUCUCCACAUACUCCUUUAUUACCGCCAAGAACGACAACGCCGGAGAGCAAUAAAGCAAAUUUAUCAACGAUGAAACAUACUCCUGAAAGGCAAAAGCAUAGUCCUAGUAUUCAUACCCGUCGUAGUAGCAUUAGUCCAGGGCCCACGAUUGGUUCAAGUCGAAGGAGACCUCAUAGUCCAAGUCCACCAUCAAGAAGAAGGGACCACAGCCCAACAAGAAGAAGAGAUUUUAGUCCAAGUCCAAUGGUGCAUAGACUCAGGCAUAGUCCUAGCCCUACAAGACGGCGGGAGUUCAGUCCAAGUCCUGUGAGCCAUCGACGUAGAGAACCUGUUACUUCACCAUCGUCGAGUAAACGUAGAAGGCGGGAAGAAUCCGAACGACGACAUCGGCAUCAUGAAAAAGAUAGAAGGGACAAAAGAAAGUCAAGAUCAACGAGAAGUCCUACUGGUAGCAGAUUGCAUUUACCUCUUUCUCGUUCGCGGUCACGAAGUCCUGGAAGGUGGCGAAAGCCAUCGCGCUCGAGAUCGCGUUCACGAAGACGAAGUCGUACUCCAAAGAAAUCCCGUUCUCCAAGCAAAUCUCACAAAUCAACGCGAAAACACAAAUCAAAGAGUCCUCGACCUUCGAGGAUACCUUCUCCUUCUCCCCAUAGACCUCGAGCAAGAAGUCCGUCAAGUAUCACGGCAAGGAACUUAGAAAUACAGGCAAAAAUUAGUGAGACUAGUUUAUUCGCUGAGCUGGUAAAAGAUAGAAAUAUGAGAGAAUUAGCAUACAAAAAGUUACGGGCAGCCAAAGAAAAGGCUGUUAAUCAGGAUGAAGUUCAAAUUAUAGAAGGCACCGAUGAGAAAGACGGUGGCAGUGCAUCUUCUGAAAAAACUGACAAUAAAGACAAAUACCUAAAUCACAAAGAGCAAUUAAAGCCAAACGAAAGUAUAAAGUCCGUUGAUCUUGUGGAUAUUCCAGUUCCAAUGUCAGAUGAUAAUGGUAUCGCAGGAAAGACACCUCCAUUACCAAUGGUACAAUCUGUAAAUGUACCAAGCUUGAUGGCCGGAGCUAAUCAACAUUCUUCAAAUAUUGUAUAUACUUCAUCUAUAACAAUUACAUCUAGUUGCGCAGUGGCUGUAACAAGCAGUCCAAGUUUUUCAACUGCUACGAAUGUACAAGCACCGCCAUUACCACAAUCUGAUCCUGCGAACACUGCGGGUCUACCACACGUAUCUAUGCCAGUGCCUAUUCCUGUACCAGUACCUGUUCUCCCAAAUUUAUCUGUUCCUCCACCACCUAUACCUAUACCAGUUCCAGCGCCGAAUACAGCUAUGUCUAAAUUCAAUUCUCCUAAUAAUUUAGUUCCUUUAAAGUCUGUAGAUCCUCCUAAACCUCCUAUCGUGGCAUUUAAAACAAAAAGUUUAUCGAGAUUGCCAUUACCACCCGGAAUUAAUCAAAAUGAUUUAGAGAGUAUAGACUCGCCACCAAGUCGGUCGCCAAGUCCGCCUAGCAAAGCACAGUUGAAGUUUCCUGCUUCAACCACAAAACCACCGCAGAAGAAAAGUAUUAAAGAUCUCCCUAUGCCACCAGUUGUUCCUGGCUCGGAAGAUUUAAGCGGAGAGGAUGAUCCUAACGCAACACCACCGCGUACGAAAGUUGAACGUGUUCCACCGAAACCAAAACUGAAAAGGCCAAAAAUAUUGAAACGUAGAGGUUCUAGAAACUGUCACACUCCUAUGUCCGCUUCAGGUGGUAAAGACUGGGGAGAACGUUGCGUUGAUGUAUUUGAAGUCAUAGCUCAAAUUGGGGAGGGUACUUAUGGACAAGUUUAUAAAGCCCAAGAUAAACGAGCUGGUGUGUUGGUCGCAUUGAAGAAAGUUCGUUUAGAAAACGAAAAAGAAGGGUUUCCCAUCACAGCUGUACGCGAAAUUAAAAUUUUGCGUCAACUUAAUCAUAAGAAUAUCGUCAAUUUGAGGGAAAUUGUUACCGAUAAACAGGAUGCUUUAGACUUUAGAAAGGACAAAGGCUCGUUUUAUCUUGUGUUCGAAUACAUGGAUCACGAUUUGAUGGGUCUUUUAGAAUCUGGAAUGGUGGAUUUCAAUGAAAUGAAUAAUGCAAGCAUUAUGAAGCAAUUAUUAGACGGAUUGAAUUACUGCCACAGCAAAAACUUUUUACACAGGGAUAUUAAAUGUUCUAACAUACUGAUGAAUAACAAAGGCGAAGUCAAGUUAGCCGAUUUUGGACUUGCAAGACUUUACAAUGCUGAAGAUAGACAACGUCCUUAUACGAACAAAGUAAUAACUUUGUGGUAUAGGCCGCCUGAGUUAUUGUUGGGUGAAGAACGUUAUGGUCCCGCGAUAGAUGUGUGGAGUUGUGGUUGUAUUCUAGGAGAAUUAUUUUCUAAGAAACCACUGUUUCAGGCGAACGUAGAAAUGAUGCAGUUGGAGAUGAUUUCUCGAGUCUGUGGUACACCGACUCCUGCCGUUUGGCCUUCUGUGAUAAAACUACCAUUGUGGCAUACACUGAAACCAAAAAAAUCACAUAGAAGACGUUUACGAGAAGAUUUCUCAUUCAUGCCAGCACCGGCUUUGGAUCUUUUAGACAAAAUGUUGGAAUUAGAUCCUGAAAAGCGAAUAACCGCUGCUGAUGCAUUGAAAAGUGCUUGGCUAAAAAAUGUUCAACCAGAGCAGAUGCCAGCACCUCAACUUCCUACUUGGCAAGACUGUCAUGAGCUCUGGAGCAAAAAACGAAGACGUCAGUUACGAGAACAACAAGAAAGUUCUGCUGGAAAGAUACCUCUUCUUCCUCUUCCAAAUAAAGGAGGUCCUCAUAAGGCUAUUGAAGAUCUAACAGAUGUCGGGGGGUCUUCCAAACGUUUAAAAAUGGAAGCAGGUUACAAUUCUCAUCCAAAUCGUCUUGGUCCGGAAUCUCAUUAUGCGGGAGAUAAUAUGUUUAACCAAAGUAGGCCUUACAUGGUCUCAUCACCAUCAUAUUAUUAUACUAGUCCUACACCUGUUACACCACGGUCCAAGGGAGAUGCUAGUAGACCUUAUAUGGUCUCAUCACCAUCAUAUUAUUAUACUAGUCCUCCAUCUGUUACACCACGGCCCAAAGGAGAUAAUACUUCUCACAUAACAGAAUUAUGCGCAGAAGAUAGCCUUGCUCGAAAAUUAAGUAUUCUUACAAAUACAUUAAAUCAGGGAAAACCAAUUCGUGUUGAAGAUCUCAUGUCACUCCGAUUAGAAAAUGAGAGUGACCCAAAAGUAGUACAGUUGUUAGGGGAAUUGCAUGCUGAACUCCGACUUGCUGCAAAUUCAAGACCAAGUGGAUUAGUAGAUUCUCAUAUUCCUGGAUUAAAUCCAUCAUCUUUAGAUACAAAUGCAACUCAGUCAGGAAAUUUUGAUGCGCAUGCAGUUUAUGCUGGUGAUGAUGCAAUGAGCUCUGGAAGGUGGUCCCAAGUGGCUACAGCUGGUGUUCGCAGUGCAUUAUUAGCGCUCAUGUCGCGCUAUGGUUUGGAAACUUGCAAUCCUUCCCCUGUUAUCACCCGACCCCCAGGUAAACCAGCAUCCAACCUAACACAGAAUCUUUUCCUGCCCUCAACUUCCUCUCAGUCAGCAUACAGCUCAUAAUGAUUUGUAUAUAUAUAUAACUCUUUACAGCAUUCUAAGCUAUUAUUCUGUAUAAAGUUGGAAAAGGUCUAAAUUGCUAUUUUUUAAAUUAACUAGGCAUGGAAGUACAACUGCAGCCAAGUUGUUUAUAGACUCUACUAUCUGUUCAUAACUAUUGAAGUAAUUAGAAGAGAACACGUACAUGAAAAUGAGGUUAGGAUGUGAGCUUUUAUACCGGCAAGCUGCAUACAACGAUAUGGCGAACUGUGCUUCGAUUUGAAAGAAACUGGGAGCGCACUAUAGAAUCAUUUAAUGAAGUGAACAAGAGUACAUCGUUGUGGGAAUGACUAAUAAAUUGUUUGCUUUGUUGAUUUUGUUCCAUUAUA